AAAUAUCAUCUUUUGGUUACAUAAUAAUUAUAAUUGUGCAAAUCGACAUUUUUCGUAGCUUUAGGUUACAAAUAGAUAAUAAAUCGAUAUAUUGUGAUAUGAAAACCAAAAAUGUUUGAUUGGUUUAUCUUAUCUUUUUAGACAUGACACAGUUCAGAUUUUUUGAACAAAUUGUUAAUAUAUUUACUAGCUGUAGGACAGUAAAAAGGUUGUAAAAGGUGACAUUUUAACUAUGGGAAUCUGUUGUAGUAGCCCGUGUAACCUAGUCAGCAGUUUGUGCUGUUGUUGUGGAUGCUGUGGUUGUGACAACAGCGGCGGUGGAGGAGUUACUGUGGUCGAGCAUCCUUCUAACGUGAUGGUGAUCGAAGACGCUCCGGGACCAAUGUAUAGAUGAUCUUCAUAAAUUCUUAUAUCUAUAUUAAAAUGGGUGACAACCCUAAUUUAGAGUUAUGUUUACGUCAAUGCUCUUAUUAAUAUUUAUAUAAUUUCAUUUAUGUUGUAAUAAAUUAUUUUCUAAUAAUAAUCUUCAUUCUUUAGUUGAAUUAUAAAUAAAAUAAUUUUCUUCCUUAAU